GUGCCCCUCUCCCACUGGUACUGUCUCUGUCUCUCAAAAUAAAUAAAAACUUUUAAAAAAUGCUUCGUUAAAACCAAUAAUACUCUGUUUUUAAGGUUCCAUUUGCAUGUUGAAUGCCGCCCACACAUGACAGCAGGUUGGGAAAUUACACUCUUGUGCCACAAUCAAUUAGCUCUCAUUUCUCAGUCUCGUUCAUCUGGGUUGUGGAGAGGAGCAGGGACAUCAUCUUUUGGUGAGGCUCUGAGUUGCUUGUGAGGUCACAGGACCACAGGACCAGCGCCGUUUUCCCUCACCACCGACAGUGAUCCCAGGAGGCACCGGAUGCUCGGAAGUGGCCCUUCUAGGCAAUCAGUCAGCGACUAUUUGAUUGAUCAGCAGUUUACUUUUAUCUGCCAAAUGAGAUUUUUUUCUUCCUUAAAACCUAAAGGGUGGCAACGCCAGUCUUAAGGAAUUUUGUCGUCCCGUUACCUGUUCAUUUCCUUUUCUUUCAGAAACCCUCAGCAUUUUCUUAGUCCUGAAACUUAAGCUUGCAAGCUCCUGGACCGUUGAGAAGUAUUCCCCUUCUCCAGAAUUGUCGUGGGAAUCAUUGCCGCGAGGCUUGCCCUCCUGUCUCCGCUGCUGGCCUUGGAGAAGGAGACUGCCAUGAAUCCUACGGCCGCAGGAGCACCCCCAACCAAGCCUCUGACGGGAACCCAACCCCGGUGGGCACCCCUGUUACCGCCUCUCUGACCUCAGACAAGGACCCAGCUCAGAGCGCCUGGACUUCUGGCCCAGAGACACUGGGAGGAAAGAGCUCGUGUAACUGAAACACAGACCAAGGAAAUGAACAGAGAAGAGGAAAACCAAGAUGUUCAACAAUAUCUGGAAAGAAACGCAGCCUUACCAAUAACCGACGAAACACAAGUUAAAUUAAAAUUUAAUUUAAAUUUAAGUUUAAAUUAAAGAUUAACCGGAUUAAUUGAUUGAAGCUAGUGACGGAGCCCUCCGUUCUGAGGAUAUGAGGACGCGGACGCUCAUGCACACAGUUCACAGGCUGGGUCACUAUUUGUGUAGAAAUGCAAAUAUGACCCUUGGAUCCAGCGGGCUAGAUUGUAGAAAUCGACCUCAUAGAAGUACCCAGGCAGGAAGCGUCAACGUACGUGAAGGGAAGUUAUUCGAAGCAUUGUUUAUAAUUGUCCAAAAUGUGAACCACGUUCCUAUCUUUAACUCAGUAGUAAAUUGGUUAAGUAAAGUACGGUACUUCCCUAUAUUGGAACAUUGAGCAGAUUUAAAAAACAGUGAACCAGAACUGUAUGUGCUAUAAACACUUAAAAAUGUGGAAGGGUAGCCGUUCAAAUGAAAUUUGAAUAUUAGACAACAAAGGGUAAAGAGCUUUAUUAUAUAUAGCUUCUACUAUAUAUAUUGGCAAUCAUAUAUGCUUAUAUCCAUACAUAUCUAUGUCAAUAUAUAAAAAAUACUUUUGUAUAUUCAUAGAAGAUUUAUAAAAGGAUACACAAGAAAUUGAUAAAACUUCCUAGAAAGAACAGUGGAAUGGGGGAAUUGGAGGGAGAUGAUUUCUUACUAAAGUGAUACGGUUGUCUUUCUAAACAAUGUCAAACGACCCUACAGAUUCGUAACGAACACCAGGCUUAUGUGUGUGUUAAAGGUCUCCAGUUAAAGGCAAUUUAAAAAGGAGAAACCACCGCUGAAGAAACAAAACGAAAGGGAAGAAAGCAUGGAUUAGCCAACUCAAGUAGCCACAUAAGCACAGACAUACUUACCUUCCUCGUUUGUGAUUCUUAUGAACACAAUACCGUAGACCUUUCAUGAUAUUUCCAAGGUAAUAGACCAUCUGUGCUGACUUAGGGGACAGCAGGCCAGGUUCUGGGGGACUGCCCAGCAUGCAGCCUUUGUCAGUACUUUGGGUAUCUCUCUUUCACGUUAACAAGCAGCGGUGUUUUCUUUGUGGAAUUAAACUCCGCGAAAAUCUCUUUGCAAGCAGAUUUGCGUCUUGAUGACAAUCUGUGGAUGACUUGGGCUGAGGCACGCCGAUGGAGUGUGUGGAUCUCCGGGGAAACUUCCAGCAGAUACGCAUCAGUGCAGCCACAUUCUUCCAGCCUUCACAGCCGUCAGGGCGGUGUCUGACCGUCCUGACAGCCGCCUGCCUCCAGCUGAAGGCGCACGGCGCCUGCGUGUGCCUUUCGCGGCAGUUCAUGGGUUACGAUCACGCUCCCGCCUGCCUCAGUUUCUCUGGUGGGUUCCUGAAGACACAGGAACUUUACCUCUUCUUGUAAAAAUGUUUUAAAUAGUUUUUUUUAAGUUUAUUUAUUUUGAAAAGAGAGUGCAAGCAGGGUAGAGGCUGAGAGAGAGAGAAGAGAGAGAAGA